CCCGCGGCGCAUUAGCUAGUUGGUGAGGUAAUGGCUCACCAAGGCAACGAUGCGUAGCCGACCUGAGAGGGUGAUCGGCCACACUGGGACUGAGACACGGCCCAGACUCCUACGGGAGGCAGCAGUAGGGAAUCUUCCGCAAUGGACGAAAGUCUGACGGAGCAACGCCGCGUGAGUGAUGAAGGUUUUCGGAUCGUAAAGCUCUGUUGUUAGGGAAGAACAAGUACCGUUCGAAUAGGGCGGUACCUUGACGGUACCUAACCAGAAAGCCACGGCUAACUACGUGCCAGCAGCCGCGGUAAUACGUAGGUGGCAAGCGUUGUCCGGAAUUAUUGGGCGUAAAGGGCUCGCAGGCGGUUUCUUAAGUCUGAUGUGAAAGCCCCCGGCUCAACCGGGGAGGGUCAUUGGAAACUGGGGAACUUGAGUGCAGAAGAGGAGAGUGGAAUUCCACGUGUAGCGGUGAAAUGCGUAGAGAUGUGGAGGAACACCAGUGGCGAAGGCGACUCUCUGGUCUGUAACUGACGCUGAGGAGCGAAAGCGUGGGGAGCGAACAGGAUUAGAUACCCUGGUAGUCCACGCCGUAAACGAUGAGUGCUAAGUGUUAGGGGGUUUCCGCCCCUUAGUGCUGCAGCUAACGCAUUAAGCACUCCGCCUGGGGAGUACGGUCGCAAGACU
rnacentral:rRNA from 1 species